rnacentral:rRNA from 1 species
AUUGAACGCUGGCGGCAGGCCUAACACAUGCAAGUCGAACGAGUGGCGGACGGGUGAGUCAUGGCUGGGAAACUGCCUGAUGGAGGGGGAUAACUACGGGAAACGGUAGCUAAUACCGCAUACCAUCGGAUGUGCCCAGAUGGGAUGAGCUCGUAGGUGGGGUAAAGGCUCACCUAGGCGACGAUCCCUAGCUGGGCUGAGAGGAUGACCAGCCAAACUGGACCUGAGACCCGGUCCAGACUCCUACGGGAGGCAGCAGUGGGUAAUAUUGCACAAUGGGCGCAAGCCUGAUUCAGCCAUGCCGCGUGUAUGAAGAAGGCCUUCGGGUUGUAAAGUCCUUUCAGCGGGGAGGCGUUACCCGCAGAAGAAGCACCGGCUAACUCCGUGCCAGCAGCCGCGGUAAUAC